GGCAAACGGGUGAGUAACACGUGGAAUCUGCCUUAGUGGGAAUAACUUUGGGAACUAAAGCUAAUACCGCAUAAGUCCGAAAGGAGAAAGACUUCGGUCGCUAAAGGAGGAGCCCGCGUUAGAUUAGGUAGUUGGUGGGGUAAUGGCCUACCAAGCCUACGAUCUAUAGCUGGUCUAAGAGGAUGGACAGCCACACUGGGACUGAGACACGGCCCAGACUCCUACGGGAGGCAGCAGUGGGGAAUAUUGGACAAUGGGGGAAACCCUGAUCCAGCGAUGCCGCGUGAGUGAUGAAGGCCUUCGGGUUGUAAAGCUCUUUCAGGGGGGAAGAUAAUGACGGUACCCCCAGAAGAAGGACCGGCUAACUUCGUGCCAGCAGCCGCGGUAAUACGAAGGGUCCUAGCGUUGUUCGGAAUUACUGGGCGUAAAGGGCGCGUAGGCGGCUUACUAAGUCAGCUGUGAAAUCCCCGAGCUUAACUUGGGAAUUGCAGUUGAGACUGGUAGGCUAGAGUUCUAGAGAGGUGAGUAGAAUUCCUAGUGUAGAGGUG
rnacentral:rRNA from 1 species